rnacentral:rRNA from 1 species
CGACAGAGGGAGCAAGCGUUGUUCGGAAUUACUGGGCGUAAAGGGCACGUAGGCGGUUUGGCAAGUCGGAAGUGAAAGCCCACGUUUCAAGCGUGGAAGGUCUUCCGAAACUGCCAGACUUGAGUAUGGUAGAGGGAUGCGGAAUUCCCAGUGUAGCGGUGAAAUGCGUAGAUAUUGGGAAGAACACCAGAGGCGAAGGCGGCAUCCUGGGCCAAAACUGACGCUGAAGUGCGAAAGCCAGGGGAGCGAACGGGAUUAGAAACCCUAGUAGUCC